CAACAGCGAUUACAAAUGACUAGAUUAUCAGCCAAACCAAAUAGUGCCCUUUUGGCAUUUAUCUCCUACGUUAGGGGUAAAACAAUGUGUGAACUGAGCCUGACACUCAUAUCUCAGUAUAAACCAUUAUAUCAUGCAGCGUCCCAUAGGGCCCGACUUCCAAUGAAACCCUGUAUUCCCUCUGGAGCCCGCUUCAACUUCAGCAAAGAUCAAGUUGUCCUAAAGUCACCAGAGGAGGGAAAUAUAGGAAUGUCUUGAAAUAAGAAAACAUGUCUCUUGAAUGACAGGAGCUCCAGAAUGUAGACUAUUUUUUGUUUGGUUGGAAGAAAAUCUGACAAAACCUUUACAGACGUCUUAAGAUUUUCUACUAAAUAUCUCUACUAGGCGGCCAUUUUCCCUGACUCCAAGGCCCAAGUGAAGUGUUGGAGCUUGAGUGUAUAUAAUGGUUCUUUUAUGCUGGUGGCUAUGUAAGUAUGGAUAUGUUUAUUUUCGACGUAUUUUUUAGUACACUUGGGACUGAAGGAAACGUACAGUUGUGGAUGAUAGAUUACAAGUAUAGCUUCUCCACCGGGGCCUAACACAACUGCCAAUAAAUUAAUCACAUGAA